AUUGAACGCUGGCGGCAGGCCUAACACAUGCAAGUCGAGCGGAUGAAGGGAGCUUGCUCCUGGAUUCAGCGGCGGACGGGUGAGUAAUGCCUAGGAAUCUGCCUGGUAGUGGGGGAUAACGUCCGGAAACGGGCGCUAAUACCGCAUACGUCCUGAGGGAGAAAGUGGGGGAUCUUCGGACCUCACGCUAUCAGAUGAGCCUAGGUCGGAUUAGCUAGUUGGUGGGGUAAAGGCCUACCAAGGCGACGAUCCGUAACUGGUCUGAGAGGAUGAUCAGUCACACUGGAACUGAGACACGGUCCAGACUCCUACGGGAGGCAGCAGUGGGGAAUAUUGGACAAAGGGCGAAAGCCUGAUCCAGCCAUGCCGCGUGUGUGAAGAAGGUCUUCGGAUUGUAAAGCACUUUAAGUUGGGAGGAAGGGCAGAAAGUUAAUACCUUGCUGUUUUGACGUUACCAACAGAAUAAGCACCGGCUAACUUCGUG
rnacentral:rRNA from 1 species